CGGCGCAUUAGCUAGUUGGUGGGGUAAUGGCUCACCAAGGCGACGAUGCGUAGCCGACCUGAGAGGGUGAUCGGCCACACUGGGACUGAGACACGGCCCAGACUCCUACGGGAGGCAGCAGUAGGGAAUCUUCCGCAAUGGACGAAAGUCUGACGGAGCAACGCCGCGUGAGUGAUGAAGGUUUUCGGAUCGUAAAGCUCUGUUGUUAGGGAAGAACAAGUGCGAGAGUAACUGCUCGCACCUUGACGGUACCUAACCAGAAAGCCACGGCUAACUACGUGCCAGCAGCCGCGGUAAUACGUAGGUGGCAAGCGUUGUCCGGAAUUAUUGGGCGUAAAGGGCUCGCAGGCGGUUUCUUAAGUCUGAUGUGAAAGCCCCCGGCUCAACCGGGGAGGGUCAUUGGAAACUGGGAAACUUGAGUGCAGAAGAGGAGAGUGGAAUUCCACGUGUAGCGGUGAAAUGCGUAGAGAUGUGGAGGAACACCAGUGGCGAAGGCGACUCUCUGGUCUGUAACUGACGCUGAGGAGCGAAAGCGUGGGGAGCGAACAGGAUUAGAUACCCUGGUAGUCCACGCCGUAACCGCUGUGUGCUAAGUGUUAGGGGGUUUCCGCCCACUUAGUGCUGCAGCUAACGCAUUAAGCACUCCGCCUGGGGAGUACGGUCGCAAGACUGAAACUCAAAGGAAUUGACGGGGGCCCGCACAAGCGGUGGAGCAUGUGGUUUAAUUCGAAGCAACGCGAAGAACCUUACCAGGUCUUGACAUCCUCUGACAACCCUAGAGAUAGGGCUUUCCCUUCGGGGACAGAGUGACAGGUGGUGCAUGGUUGUCGUCAGCUCGUGUCGUGAGAUGUUGGGUUAAGUCCCGCAACGAGCGCAACCCUUGAUCUUAGUUGCCAGCAUUCAGUUGGGCACUCUAAGGUGACUGCCGGUGACAAACCGGAGGAAGGUGGGGAUGACGUCAAAUCAUCAUGCCCCUUAUGACCUGGGCUACACACGUGCUACAAUGGACAGAACAAAGGGCUGCAAGACCGCAAGGUUUAGCCAAUCUCAUAAAUCUGUUCUCAGUUCGGAUCGCAGUCUGCAACUCGACUGCGUGAAGCU
rnacentral:rRNA from 1 species